GGAGUCGGUUCUACCUUAAGGCAAGGUUUAAAAUCCUUGACCACGGUAUAGUCAGCGACUGGGGUGAAGUCGUAACAAGGUAGCCGUAGGGGAACCUGCGGCUGGAUUACCUCCUUUCUAAGGAUGAAUGAAAGUAAAAUUUUAUUCUAAAUAAUAUACAUAGGUAAUGUUGACCGUCCUCAUUUCUCUUCUUAAUUAGUGUUUCUCUUGCAUGGGGGCCGGUAGCUCAGUUGGUUAGAGCACACCCUUGAUAAGGGUGGGGUCGAAAGUUCGAGUCUUUCUCGGCCCACCAAUUUAAGAUCCUGGGGGAUUAGCUCAGCUGGGAGAGCGCCUGAUUUGCAUUCAGGAGGUCAGCGGUUCGAUCCCGCUAUCCUCCACCAAAACACUUAGUUAUAUAAAUCGUAAAUAAAAUAAUAAUUAAUAUCAAUAUCUAUAUCCGAACAUUAGUAAUGUUAUUAGCUAAUGUUCAAAAUAAAAAUUUGAUUCAACACAGAAUUUUUUUCUGUGCAUAAAUCAAGCGUUUAAGGGCGUGUAGUGGAUGCCUUGGCACUGAAAGCCGAUGAAGGACGUGAUAUACUGCGAUAAGUUUCGGGGAGCUGUAUGUAAGUUUUGAUCCGAAAAUU
rnacentral:misc_RNA from 1 species